GGUAGACCUGGCAGUCCCAAAGUGCUCACAGUGCAGAUAGUUUACACUCAUCUACUGCAGUCUGUGCACUUCAAGUAUUUCAGGUCGCCUUC
rnacentral:pre_miRNA from 10 species